rnacentral:lncRNA from 1 species
CACUUCCUUAAGUUUAUUUAGGGUAUCCCUCAUCCUUCAAGCCAUAAUCAGGAUGUCAUCCUAGGUUUUAUCUAAACAUAAUCAUUUGUUCUCGAGAUUGCUCAUCAUUGGAACGCCAUUCAUACUACUAUUCUUUUUCAUUUUUAGUUUGUUUAGUUUCACAUCAUUGAGAUCCCAUCCUAGGUUCUAUCUAAGCUAAUUCGUUUGUUCUUUUGAUUGCUCAUCAUUGGACCAUAAUUCUUGGUUCUAUCUCUCUUCAUUCUUAGUUCCUUUAGUUAUCCGUCAUUGGGUUACUAUCAUAGUUUUAAUCUAAGCUUAUUUGUAUGUUCGUUUGGUUUCUCAUAAUUAGGACGCCAUCCUAGGUUCUAUCAUAGGUCAUUCUAACUUCCUAAGGUUUUCCAUCAAUGGGAUGCCGUCCUAGUUUCUAUUUAAGCUUAUUUCUUUCUUGUUUUUGUUUCUCAUCAUUGAGAUGUUAUCCUAGGUUCUAUCUGUGCUUAAUUUUAGUUCCUUUUGUUUAAAAUUUAUGGGAACCCAUGCUAGGUUGAAUCCAAGUUUAUUUGUUUCUUCCUUUGCUUUUUCAUCGUUGUAAGGCGAUUCUAGCUUCAAUUUAAGCUUAUUCAUUUGUUCCUUUGCUUUAUGCUCAUUGCAACACCAUCCUAGUUUCUAUCGAUGUUCGUUCGUAGUUCCUUUGGUUUCUCAUCAUUGAGAUGUCGUUCUAGGUCCCACCAUCAUUGGAACACCAUUCUAGGUUCUAUCUUUUUCCAUUUUUACUUCCUAAGGUUUGCCAUCAUUUGGAUGUCAUCUUAAGUUCUAUCUAAGCUCAUGUUUGUUCUUUUGAUUACUUAUCAUUGGAGCGCCUUUCUUGGCUUUAUCUAUGUUCAUUCUAAGUUUCCUUAGUUUCCCAUCUUAGUUCCUUCUGUUUAUCUUCACUAGGAUGCUAUCGUAGGUUCUAUCUAUGUUCAAUUUGAUUUCCUUUCAUUGGGAUACCAUCCUGGUUUCUAUCUAAGCUUAGUCGUUUUUUCCUUUGGUUUGCCAUCACCGAGAUGCCUUUCUAGCAUCUAUCUAUGUUCAAAGUCAGUUCCUUUAGUUUCUUAUCGUGUAGGUUUCUACCUAUACUUAACUUGUUGUUUCUUUGGUUUCUCAUUGUUGAAAUGCCACCCUAGUUUUUAUCUAUGUUCGUUCUUAGUUCCUUUGGUUUCCCGACAUUUGGAUUCGGUCCUACGUUCUGGCUACGUUUAUUGUUAGUUCCUUUAGUUUUGAAUUAUUGGGAAGCCAUCCAAGGAUCUAUCUAAGGUUAUUUGUUUAGUUUCUAAUCAUUGUGACGCCAUCCUAGUUUCUAUGUAUGUUUGUUUUGAAUUCCUUUGGGUUCCAAACAUUUGGAUGCCAUCCUAGGUUUUGUUUAUGUUCAUUGAUGGUUCCCUUCGUUUCCAAUUAUUGCGAAGUCAUCAUAGAUUCUAUCUAAGAUAAAUUAUUUGUUCCUUAGUUUCCAAUUAUUGCAAUGCCAUUCUAGAAUCUAUGUUUGUUCAUUCUUACUUCCUAAGGUUCCCAUUCAUUAGGAUGUGGUUUUUAUGUGUUCUUAUUUCUUCAUUCCUUUGGUUGGUUAUCAAUGUGACGCCAUCCUACAAUCUAUAUAUAUUCAUUCGUAGUUACUUUGGUUUCAUAUCACUAGGAUGCCAUCCUAGGUUCUAUCUAAUCUUGUGCUUAUAUUCCUUUGCCUUCUCCUCGUUUUGAUGCCAUCCUAGUUUCUAUCUAUGUUCGUUCUUAGUUCCUUUGGUUUCUAAUCGUUGGGGCAACAUCCUAGUUUCUAUCUAUGUUCUUUGUUAGAUCCUUCGGUUUCCCACCAUUGGGAUGUCAUCCUUUGAUUGCUCAUCAUUGGAACAUCAAUCUUAGUUCUAUCUAUUUUCAUUCUUAGUUCCUUUAGUGUCCUAUCAUCAGGAUGUGAUCCUAGGUUCUAUUUAAGCUUAUUCAUUUGUUCCUUUUGUUCUCAUCAUUGGGACGUCAUCCUAGGUUCUAUAUAUGUUCCUUUUGUUUUUCAUCACUGGAAUGCCAUCCUAGGUUCUAACUAUGUUGAAUUUUUGUUCAUUUGGUUUCCAAUCAUUAGAAUAUGAUCCUAUUUUCUACCAAGAAUUAGUCGAGAUUGUUUCUUUCGCUUCUCAUCAUUGUGACGCCAUCGUAGUUUCUGUCUAUGUUCGUUCUUAGUUCGUUUGGUUUCCAAACAUUUGGAUGCCAUCCUACGUUCUAUAGGUUCAUUGUUAGUUCCUCUGGUUUUCAAUCAUUGGGAAGUCAUCCUAAGCUCUAUCUAUGGUUGUUCAUUUGUUCCCUUAAUUUCUCGUCAUUGGGAACUCGUCCUAGGCUCUAUCUAUGCUCAUUGUAUGUUCCUUCGGUUUCCAAUCAUUGAGAAGGUAUCCUAGGUUCUAUCCAUGCUUAUUCAUUUGUUCCUUUCGUUUCUCAUCAUUAGCAUGCCAUCCUAGGCUUUAUUUACGUUAAUUCUUUCCUCCUAAGGUUUCCAUCAUUAGGAUGCAAUCCUGGUUUCCAUCUAAAGCUUAUUUCUCUGCUCCUUUCGGUUCUCAUCAUUGAGACUCAUCCUAUGUUCAUUUAAAGCAUAUUCGAUUGUUCGUUCGAUUGCUUUAUGGGAUCUAUCUACGGUUAUUUGUUUAUUCUUUUAGUUUCUAACAUUGAAACGUAAUCAUAGGUUUAAUCAUCCUAAGUUCCUUUUGUUUCCCAUCAUUGCGAAGCCAUCCAAGGUUCGAUCUAAGCUUAUUCGUUUCUCAUCUUAAGGACACCACCUUAUAUUCUAUCUAUGUUCAUUCUUAGUUCCAUCGGUUUCCCAUCAUUGGGAUGCCAUCCUAGGUUUUAGUUUCUAUUUAAAGCUUGUUUAUUUGUUCCUUUUGAUUUUCAUCACUAGGAUGCCAUCCUAGGUUCUAUCUAUGUUGAAUUUUCGUCCAUUUGGUUUCCAAUCAUUGGAAUGUCAUCCCAUGUUCUACCUAAGAUUAGUCGAUUGUUUCUUUCGUUUCUCAUUGUUGUGACACCAUCGUAGUUUGUAUCUAUGGUCGUUCUUAGUUCCAUCAUUAGGAUGCCAUUCUACUUUCCAUCUAAAGCUUAUUUCUUUGUUCCUUUUGUUUCUCAUCAUUGAGACUCCAUCCUAUGUUUUAUCUAUGUUCAUUCUUAGUUCAUUUAAAGCAUAUUCCUCUGUUCCUUCAAUUGCUCACCGUUAGAACGCUAUUCUUGGUUCUAUCUAUUUUCAUUCUCAGUUCCUUUAGUUUCCCAUGCUUGAGAUGUCAUCCUAGUUUUUAUCUAAACUUAUUCGUUUGUUCCUUUCCUUUCCCAUCACUAGGAUGUCAUCCAAGGUUCUAUUUAUGUUCAAUUUUGGUUCCUUAUAUGUUUUGAUCAUUGGGAUGCCAUCCUGUUUCUAGCUAAGCUUAGUCGGUUGUUUCUUUGUUGUAUCAUCAUUCUGAUGCCAACCAAGUUUCUACCCGUGUUUGUUUUUAGUUCCUUUGGUUUCCUAAGAAUUGGAUUCUAUCCAAGGUUUUUUUUCUAUGUUCAAUGUCAUUUUCUUUGGUUUCCAAUCAUUGUGAAGUCAUCCUAGGUUCUCUCUCUAAGGUUAUUUGUUUCUUCAUUUGGUUUAUCAUCAUUGAGACGUCAUCCUAGGUUAAAUCUAUGCUCAUUGAGACUUCCUUUUGUUUCCCAUCAUUGCGAAUCUGUCACACCCCUGUUUUUUUUUUUUUUUUUUCGAACUUUACAAUUGAUACUCAAAUACAGUAUAAGUGCUCUAAAAAAAAUGAGGAUACAAAAAUUUAAAUGUCGAGUUUCUGCUUGAUUUGGUGCAAAAAGAGAAUAUGCAAAACUUGUUAUAAAGAGUACAUCCUAUAUUAAACUUUAUAACAAUUAGUUAACAAAAUAUGAUUCAUUUUACAAAAGAAACUUGUACUAUGUUAAUUUACAUAUAUAUCAAAACCCCAUGGUUCACUACGGGUAGCCCAUACUACAAGUGUACCUGACAAAUAUUUAUAUUACAUCAUUCUUAAAAAGAGAUUCAGUCUUUAACACAAAGGGAAAGUCUCAAAACACUUUCAAUGCGAGCAAACAACAUCCAAUCACAAUAAAGCAAUGCUCAAGCAUUAUUUCCAACAUAGGUCUUUUGACCUGCAUCUAAAGGUGGAAGGGAUAGGGUGAGUUCACAACUCAAUAGGAAAGUUUAUAAGCAUCCUAGACAUACCCAUAAAAACCUUGAAUUAAACGUAUAAUAGCAUGCAUGAUAAACAUUUUAUAACCAUUAAUAAAUAUACAAUCAUGUAAAACAUGUAUGCAUGUGUUUGCUAGUUUCAUCUUUGCUUUUCCUCAUCUAUCCUUUCACAACUGAUAAACUACUAACCCCCACCAAUCUACACAUCAGAUAUCAAUUCUCCACAAGAUACUUGGUCAAUAUAAUAAUAACUAUUUUGAGACAUUACCCCAGAGUAAGUCAUAUCCCGUGUCUUUUGGGACUCAUACCCAAGGGAAGGACCAACCCCACGUCUUUAGGGACUAAAACCCAAGGGCAGGACCAACCCCAUACACCUACAUCAGAGUGUCUUCCUCGAGGGCUUUAGGGACUUUCACCCACAUAAGUGCUCUCAAUGAUAUGGGGAUACAAUAAUUUAAAUAUUGAGUUCCUUCUUGAUUUUGUGCAAAAGGAGGAUAUGCAAAACCUGUUAUAAAGAGUGCAUCUUGUAUUAAACUUUGUAACUAUUAAUUAACAAAAUAUGUUUCGUUUCACAAAAGAAACUUGUACUACAUUAAUUUGCAUAUACCAAAACCCCAUGGUUCACUACGGGUAGCCCAUACUACAAGUGUACUUAACAAAUAUAUAUAUUAUAUCAUUCCUACAAAAAAGAUUUAGUCUUUAAUACAAAGGCAAAGCCUCAAAACACUAUCAAUGUGAGCAAACAACAUCCAAUCACAAUAAAGCAAUGCUCAAGCAUUAUUUCCUGCAUAGGUCUUCUAACAUGUAUCUAAAGGUGGAAGGGAUAGGGUGAGUUCACAACUCAGUAGGAAAGUUUAUGACCAUCCUAAGCAUACCCUUAAAAACUUUGAAUUAAACAUGUAAUAGUAUGCAUGAUAAACAUUUUAUAAUUAUUAACAAAUAUGCAAUCAUGUCAAACAUGUAUGCAUGUGUUUGCUGGUUUCAUCUUUGCUUUUCCUCGUCCAUUCUUUCACAACUGAUAAAUUGUUCACCCCCACCAAUCUAUAUAUUAGAUAUCAAUGCUCCACAACAUACACGGUCAAUAUAAUAAUGACUAUUCUUAGACCUCACCUAAGGGCAAGUCAUACCCUGUGUCUUUUGGGACUCAUACCCAAGGGUAGACCAACCCCAUACACCCACAUUGGAGUGUCUUCCUCGAGGGCUUUAGAGACUUUCACCCAAGUACCCACCGUCCCACAUAAACAAUAUAUCAAAAGAUAAUGUUUGUAACAUCACAUAAACACUUCCCACCAAUCAAUUCUCUGAAUAUCAUCUGUGAUUAUUCCAUAUCCUUCUGUCAAUACAACCACACCAUGAACCAUUUCCACAACACUAAACCAAAAAUCGUCAUACCAAUAUGCAUUCCAAUCUCAAUGUAACAUUUCAACACAAUAAACCAAAAUGCAAUGACACAUUAAAACAUUUUACGAAAUCAUAGAAAUGACAUGAGAUUUCUAAUAAAUGUUUCAAGAAAAGAAAUCAGAUACAUUAUGGGAUAGCAUAAAAUUCCCUACCUUACACGGACUUUCCCUCUGUGAUUCUUCUAUGUAGGCGAUCUUUACUUAUUACAAGGAACUGAAAUAAAACAACAUAAUUUAGGUUUCUUAACCAUGAAAAUUUAUUCAAUAAAAAUUUAUGAAAUUUUCCUUUCUUACUAAUUUUUAACAACUUAUUGUUAUUAAUUUUUAAUUCUCAUAUUUUCCAAUUAAUUACCAAGCACUAAUUAACCUAAUUAAUCGCAUGUUUACGAAUCUAUAAUACUUAAUCUAAAACACUUUAAUCCUUAAUUAAUUGUGAUUUUUUUAACUAAAACAUGUUUAUAUAAUUAAACUCAACUUUUACACAAAUUUUACCGUGAAUUUGUUUCAACAUACCAUUAGGAACCAAAAAAAAACUAAAUUAAACAACUUGCUUACCUCAAAUCUUCACUUUCUCUCUCUAGAUCCUCUUUUUAACCCAAGCUGUUGCUGGUGAAAUGCUGCAAGCCCCUAUAAAGGUCUCCAUGGAGCCAAAGUAGGAGGUGGCAGGUCACAUGGCUGCCACCAACCCUAACUUUCCAUAAUUGCACUUUAGUCCUCCAAAUUAACCAAUAUUAAACUUACAAUUGCCCAUUAGUCCUUUAGGUUUUCAUAACUCUAAUAAGUCCUUAGGAACCUAAUAAGCGUACUUAAAUCAUUAACUAAUCCUACAUAACCUUAAUUAAAUUUUAAUUCAUAAUUGAACAAGAUUAGCACUAAACUAGCUUUAACAUCUAAUUCAGCACGUUUAAAGUUAAGUACUAAGAUAAUCAUUAUUGCCUAUUUAAUUCAUUAGUGCUAGGUAUUAAUGAAUCCAUCCAAAGUUCGAUCUAUGCUUAUUCAUUUCUUCCUUUUGUUUCUCAUCUUUAGGACACCACCUUAUGUUCUAUCUAUGUCCAUUCUUAGUUCCAAUGGUUUCCCAUCGUUAGGAUGUCGUCUUAGGUUCUAUCUAAGCUUAUUCAAUUGCUCAUCAUUGGAACCCCAUUCUUAUUUCCUUUCAUUUCUCAUCAUCAGGAUGCCAUCCUAGGUUCUAUAUAAGCUUAUUCAUUUGUUCUUUUGACUCAUCAUAAUUGGGACACCGUUCAUGGAUCCAUCUAUCUUCAUCCUUAGGUUCUUCAGUUUUCUGUCAUUGUGAUGUAAUUGUUUUUUCCUUUGGUUUGCCAUAACUGGGACGCCUUUCUAGCUUCUAUCUAUUUUCAAAGUUAGUUCCUUUAGUUUCUGAUCGUGGAGAUCCAAUCUUAGGUUUCUACCUCAGCUUAGUUGGUUGUUUCUUUGGUUUCUCGUUGUUGAAACGCCACCUUAGUUUCUAUUUAUCUAUGUUCAUUCUUAGUUCCUUUGGUUUCCUAACAUUUGGAUUUCGUCCUAGGUUCUGGCUAUGUUUAUUGUUAGUUCCUUUAGUUUCGAAUUAUUGGGAAGCCAUCCAAGGAUCUAUCUAAGGUUAUUUGUUUAGUUUCUCAUCAUUGUGACACCAUCCUAGGUUCUAUGUAUGUUUGUUCUUAAUUCCUUUGGUACCCAAACAUUUGGAUGCCAUCCUAGGUUUUGUCUAUGUUCAUUGAUAGUACCUUUGGUUUCCAAUUAUUGUGAAGUCAUCAUAGGUUCUAUCUAAGGUAAAUUAUUUGUUCUCUAGUUUCAUUUCGUUGCAUUGCCAUUCUAGGUUCUAUGUUUGUUCAUUCUUACUUCCUAAGGUUCCCAUUCAUUAGGAUGUGAUCCGAGUUUUUAUGUCUUCUUAUUUCUUCAUUCCUUUGGUUGUUGAUCAAUGUGAUGCCAUCCUACAAUCUAUAUAUAUUCAUUCGUAGUUCCUUUGGUUUCACAUCACUGGGAUGCCAUCUUAGGUCCUAUCUAAUGUUAUGCAUAUGUUCCUUUGCUUUCUCCUCGUUUCAAUGCCAUCCUAGUUCCUAUCUAUGUUUGUUCUUAGUUCCUUUGGUUUCUAAUUGUUGGGGCAACAUCCUAGUUUCUAUCUAUGUCCAUUGUUAGUUCCUUUGGUUCCCCACCAUUGGGAUGUCAUCCUUUGAUCGCUCAUCAUUGGAACGUCAAUCUUAGUUCUAUCUAUUUUCAUUCUCAGUUCCUUUAGUGUCCUAUCAUUAGGAUGUGAUCCUAGGUUCUAUUUAAGCUUAUUCAUGUGUUCCUUUUAUUCUCAUCACUGAGAUGUCAUUCUGGGUUCUAUAUAUGUUCAAUUUUAGUUACUUUGGUUUCCGAUAGUUGGGAUGCCAUCCUAGGUUCUACCUAAGAUUAGUCAAUUGUUUCUUUGGUUUCUCAUCAUUGUGACACCAUCAAUGGGAUACCAUCCCAAUUUCUAUACAAGGUUUUUAUCUAAAGCUUAUUUCUUCGUUCCUUUUGUUUUUCAUCACCAGAAAGCCA